GGUCCCGCCUGCCCUGUGACCCCCAGUUUAACGGCCGCGGUAUUUUGACCGUGCAAAGGUAGCGCAAUCACUUGUCCCUUAAAUGAGGACCUGUAUGAAUGGCACAACGAGGGCUUAACUGUCUCCUUUCCCCGGUCAAUGAAAUUGAUCUUCCCGUGCAGAAGCGGGAAUCCUAACAUAAGACGAGAAGACCCUAUGGAGCUUUAGACUCCAGAAUAGACCAUGUCAGCUACUCCCGUUAAACACAGUAGCAACUAUUGAGCCUCUAUUCUCUGUCUUUGGUUGGGGCGACCACGGGGAAGAAAAAAUCCCCCAUGUGGACCGGGAGCACCAAUCUCACUCCCACAACCACGAGCCACAGCUCUAAUGCGCAGAAUUUCUGACCAUAAAGAUCCGGCAACUAGCCGAUCAACGGACCGAGUUACCCUAGGGAUAACAGCGCAAUCCCCUUUAAGAGUCCCUAUCGACAAGGGGGUUUACGACCUCGAUGUUGGAUCAAGACAUCCUAAUGGUGCAGCCGCUAUUAAGGGUUCGUUUGUUCAACGAUUAAAGUCUU
rnacentral:rRNA from 1 species